rnacentral:tRNA from 11 species
AAAACUUAAGAAAGAAUAAUUAUUCUAUUAAUUU